UAAUUAACCUCAAUCUGUAAUAAAUGGUGAUGUAAAGGUCAAGCUCGACAAAAACACAACCACCAUCUGAUUAAGGCACAAAGGACAAGAAACAAGGAUAGGGACCAACCUCAUAGAAUCCGAGGCCAAGAAGAUAUAUUGGGUCGUCCUUCAAAAUGCUAACCUAUUCACUUGGACAGUCGAAAACAUGUCAGGGGUAGACCUUGAGGUGAUCUUGCACAAGUUAUUCGCGUACAAGGAAGCUCACCCAAAGUUGCAAAAGAAGACAAAAUUAAGGGAUUAGAAGUGGAAAGUUGUCAAAGAGGAGGUUGAUAAACUUAUCAAUGUUAGAUUU
rnacentral:lncRNA from 1 species